UUAACCCGUUCGUCGGUGAAAAUCCAGCACGUGAAAUGUAAACAUGUCCUUAAGUGACGCAUGCGCAGUUGCGCACUGAGUCGAAACGCAAACGUAUGUUGGGACAUUGUGCAGAGAGGAUCAAGCCUGCAAAUGUGUGACGAACACCAAUAAAAGUACAGGUCUGCAGACACACCAAUCCUUUAAGACGUGACAGAACAUGUUGGUGUGAUAUAAUCAAUAUUGGAGCCAUGGUUUAUAGAGUAGAGGUUUUUCUUCGCCAUGAACAUACGACCUGGUUGCUUUUCUAAAGUGGGAUUAUACUCGAACAACCUCGACUUCAGCCCAUCUCAAACAGCACACCCAGUUAGUGUCCCAAAAGCUUCCACAGUCUCAGAGAAUAGAGAUCCACCUGGUGACACUUCAAACAACACCAGACAACAUCUGAUCUUGGACAAGAAUCUGGGUGGGAAAGUCGAACGGACUUCAGUGCCCGUAAAGCUCGGCAGAGUGUUAGCUGUCGCUUCAGAGGCUGGCUCUGAGGGCACAGAAACACUGUCAUCUCAAGCUAAACAAAUGGGGGGUGAAGGCACCCCUGUAAAAAGUAAAACUCCCCUUGGACAGACCAACUCUAUAGAUAAUAAGCCAGAGUUUGUAUCCAUGAAUUCACACAGUAAUUCUAGGGACUCUGUGGGAGAGAAGAGUGUGAAAGGGUUAGAAACUAUGGGGGCAUCUCAUGAACACACGGAGGGUAAAAGGUUGAAUAUGAGGAAGAUCACAGGUCAUCCUCACUCGCAGGCCACUUGCCUUAAACAACUGCUUCUACUUCAGCUGGACUUGAUAGAGCAACAGCAACAACAACUGCAGUCUAAGGACAAGGAAAUAAAUGAUCUCAAAUCAGACAGAGACACGUUGCUUGCUCGUAUUGAGAGGAUGGAACGGCGUUUGCAGUUGUUAAGUAAGGAACCACGUGACAAGAGGCUCUUUCAGCCAUUAGAGAGAUGGGUCCCUGAUACGGAAGAUUUUUGGGAAUCAGAUAUGGGGGACUGCUCGCAGACUCCAACAUCCAAAUCAGUCCAGUUGAAUCGAAGUGGCAAGAUGCAAAAGAGGAAGUUCAACUUCUUAGACGCUAAGAUGCAGAGGUCAAGAGGCAAGGCCACAAGAUCAACCCCCCAAAAAUUAGACACAGGAGAGACAUCACCUUGUCAGCGUGACUUGCGAAACAAGGAGACCCCAGAGAAGAUGAGCGGACAGAUGGAUCAGCACCCAGAGGGAGAAGACAGCAAAGAAACUAAAGAUCUCCCAUACUUAACAACGACCGAGAUGUACCUGUGCUGCUGGCACCAGCCUCCAGCCUCUCCAUUACAGGAACCGUCUCCAAAGAAAGAGGAGGAUGUUGCAAUCCCAUCCUGGAGAGAAAAUAUCAUGGAACCCCUGUGCGAGGAGGAUGCCUUUGACAUCCCUGAGAAUCUUGAUGAUACAGUUUUUCUGAAACGGCACGCGAAGCUAGAACUGGAUGAGAAGAGACGAAAAAGAUGGGACAUUCAGAGAAUACGUGAACAGCGUAUGCUUCAAAGACUGCAGCAACGCAUGGAGAAGAAAAAGAUGAAUGUUCAGGAAAGCAAGCCUGAAGUGUCCUCAUUUUAUCCUGACCCGGACAUGGUGGAGGCCAUUGAAGUCACACCAUUUCUGCCAGUAGUUGCCUUUGGUCAGCCUUUGCCCAAUUUGACUGCACAGUAAGAUCAUUUCUCCUUCAAAUAUCUCUUAAGCCCUGUACACACAUGCAGCAACUUCCAGUGACAAAGCGACUAGAACUCAUUCAUUUUCAAUGAGAGCUGGCGACUUCCGGCGACAGCGACCUCUGACAACUAGAUGUGGGCGUGGCGAGCAACACGACAAAGUUAAGAAAAGUUUAACUUUAUGCAAAUGAGGAGCGACUUUUGGCAGCGACAACCAAUAGGAGAGAAGACGUGUCAGUGGAGCUCACGUCAUCCGUCUCCUAGUCGAGCGCAGGCAACACAGAGGAGAAGUUAAUGUUUUUGAACUUCGAGCUGCCUUGGCUUGAUGAAAAAAGUCGGUGUCGUGUUGAAAAUCCGAAAAAAACUCCCCAUCGAACCUGUCGGAAAUGAGUCACAGAUUUUGAGCAUGUUACCAAGUUGAAAGCUACAUGGAGGAGCAAAGCAGGGUUUGAUCAUUCAGGUGACAGAAUAUUUGCCCAUCAUUAUGGUUUAGUGUCGGGCCACAGUCUGCUGGCAGAGACUGUUUAGGCAAGAAUGAAAUGGCAGCAUUACAGCUAUGUUAUCAUUCUAUGUUGCCAUGAUGAUAAAGCACCACCUGCCCUGUUAACUGCUAUUUUAGGCCACAUCCUCACUAAAUCGUUUUCAGUUUCUUGAUGUCAUCAUUUUCUAAAGUAUGCAGAUAUGGAGAGCGUUUUCGUUGGAGGAAAACACUGUUCUGGUGUGUAUAACAGCUUGCGUAUGCGUAGCAAAAUCAUUGCGUUUUUCAAACGAAAAUGUAUGUGUGGACGUGGCCUUUUGCACACAGUCAGUGUGUGGUCUUUACUGAUUUAGGCUAAUCAUUUACCUUUAGUUCUGUUCUGUGAAUUUUCACUGAGGCUAAGUGAUAUUGAUUGUGCAGGCUCUGCUACAAAUGAAGUUUUAAUGUGCACUAAUCUGUGGUUAUGGAGUAUUGGUGCACAUUUGCAUGUAAUGCCUCAGUAUAUUUGUGUUGAGAAUGGCUUUAAAGAGUUGUUUUGUUUUUAAAAUUGUAAUUAUGCAUGAAUGUCUUGAUGAAAC